rnacentral:rRNA from 1 species
AGAGUUUGAUCCUGGCUCAGAACGAACGCUGGCGGCAGGCCUAACACCUGCAGUCGACGAUUCCUUCGGGAAUAGUGGCAGACGGGUGAGUAACGCGUGGGAAUAUACCUUAUGGUACGGAACAACAGUUGGAAACGGCUGCUAAUACCGUAUGUGCCCUUCGGGGGAAAGAUUUAUCGCCAUAAGAUUGGCCCGCGUUAGAUUAGCUAGUUGGUGAGGUAAAGGCUCACCAAGGCGACGAUCUAUAGCUGGUUUGAGAGGAUGAUCAGCCACACUGGGACUGAGACACGGCCCAGACUCCUACGGGAGGCAGCAGUGGGGAAUAUUGGACAAUGGGGGCAACCCUGAUCCAGCCAUGCCGCGUGUGUGAAGAAGGCCUUAGGGUUGUAAAGCACUUUCAGCGAGGAGGAUAAUGACGGGACCUAUUAAAGAAGUCCCGGCUAACUCCGUGCCAGCAGCCGCGGUAAUACGGAGGGGACUAGCGUUGUUCGGAAUUACUGGGCGUAAAGAGUACGUAGGCGGUUUAUCAAGUUGGGUGUGAAAGCCCGGGGCUCAACCCCGGAACUGCACGCAAAACUGAUAGACUAGAGAUCGGAAGAGGUAAUUGGAAUUCCCAGGGUAUAGGUGAAAUUCGUAGAUAUUGGGAAGAACACCAGUUGCGAAGGCGGCUUACUGGUCCGGAUCUGACGCUGAGAUGCGAAAGCGUGGGGAGCGAACAGGAUUAGAUACCCUGGUAGUCCACGCCGUAAACGAUGGGUGCUAGUUGUUGGGAGGUUUACCUUUCAGUGACGCAGCUAACGCAUUAAGCAUUCCGCCUGGGGAGUACGGUCGCAAGAUUAAAACUCAAAGGAAUUGACGGGGGCCCGCACAAGCGGUGGAGCAUGUGGUUUAAUUCGAAUCAACGCGAAGAACCUUACCUGCCCUUGACAUCCUCAGAAUACCAGAGAUGGUUUUCUUCAGUUCGGCUGGCUACCACACAGGUGCUGCAUGGCUGUCGUCAGCUCGUGUCGUGAGAUGUUGGGUUAAGUCCCGCAACGAGCGCAACCCUCGCCCUUAGUUGCCAUCAUUUAGUUGGGUACUCUAGGGGAACUGCCGGUGACAAGCCGGAGGAAGGUGGGGAUGACGUCAAGUCCUCAUGGCCCUUAUGGGCUGGGCUACACACGUGCUACAAUGGCAGUGACAAUGGGUCGCAACCCUGCGAGGGGUAGCUAAUCUCAAAAAGCCGUCUCAGUUCGGAUUGUUCUCUGCAACUCGAGAGCAUGAAGUUGGAAUCGCUAGUAAUCGCGUAUCAGCAUGACGCGGUGAAUACGUUCCCGGGCCUUGUACACACCGCCCGUCACACCAUGGGAGUUGGUUUUACCCGAAGGCAGUGCGCUAACCCGUAAGGGGGGCAGGCGACCACGGUAGGGUCAGCGACUGGGGUGAAGUCGUAACAAGGUAACCGUA